CAAUCACCUGGCCCCUCCAGGCAGUGUGAAGGCAAGGAGACAUCUGAGGAGGCCCAGACCUUCCAGGCCUUAGCAAAACAGUGAAGGUCUACAACCAACAUCAGCAUGUCCCCAAUUCUCCAAAUUCAAGUUGCAAAUACACAACGAAGAGAAACAAAUGACACAAGAAAGAGAAUCAGACAUACCUUCAGUGACUGUCUCUUUGUCACAUAAUUUUCUGAAUGAAGUAGCUUCUCAUAUUCACUGAAAAACUGAGACCAGAAAACAUACAUCAAGGUUAAGGAAAAGGAGGAGCGAUAACAUUAUAAAGUUCAGGGCCGACUCUGAACAUCAACAAAGGCCUGUGCUCUCUCACUGACAAUGGUGUCAAACCUUCCUUCCUCUGUGCCGCUCCUCUAUGCAGGGAGCUCCUGGGACUGGUCCCUCCAGGGUCUAGCAGGAUCCAGAGACUGCUCUGACAAAGUCCUCCUCUGCACCCUAAAUCAUCUGCAUAAAGCACUAACUCCUUCUCA